rnacentral:rRNA from 1 species
AUUGAACGCUGGCGGAAUGCUUUACACAUGCAAGUCGAACGGUAGAGGGGGCAACCCCUUGAGAGUGGCGAACGGGUGAGUAAUAUAUCGGAACGUGCCCAGUCGUGGGGAUAACGUAGCGAAAGUUACGCUAAUACCGCAUACGAUCUAUGGAUGAAAGCGGGGGAUCGCAAGACCUCGCGCGAUUGGAGCGGCCGAUAUCAGAUUAGGUAGUUGGUGAGGUAAAGGCUCACCAAGCCGACGAUCUGUAGCUGGUCUGAGAGGACGACCAGCCACACUGGGACUGAGACACGGCCCAGACUCCUACGGGAGGCAGCAGUGGGGAAUUUUGGACAAUGGGCGCAAGCCUGAUCCAGCAAUGCCGCGUGCAGGAUGAAGGCCUCGGGUUGUAAACGUGCUUUGUUACGGUACGAAACGGUGAGCUCUAAUACAGUUUGUCUAAUGACGGUACCGUAA